rnacentral:rRNA from 1 species
GAUGAACGCUAGCUACAGGCUUAACACAUGCAAGUCGAGGGGCAGCGCAGUGUAGCAAUACAUGGGCGGCGACCGGCGCACGGGUGCGUAACGCGUAUCCAACCUUCCCGUUACUCAGGGAUAGCCUUCCGAAAGGGAGAUUAAUACCUGAUGGUGUUCAAAUUUCGCAUGUUAUUUGAACUAAAGAUUUAUCGGUAACGGAUGGGGAUGCGUGACAUUAGGUAGAUGGCGGGGUAACGGCCCACCGUGGCUACGAUGUCUAGGGGUUCUGAGAGGAAGGUCCCCCCACACUGGAACUGAGACACGGUCCAGACUCCUACGGGAGGCAGCAGUGAGGAAUAUUGGUCAAUGGGCGAGAGCCUGAACCAGCCAAGUAGCGUGAAGGAUGACUGCCCUACGGGUUGUAAACUUCUUUUAUACGGGAACAAAUGUAGGUACGUGUACCUAUUUGCGUGUACCGUAUGAAUAAGCAUCGGCUAACUCCGUG